UAAAGGUUUGGUCCUAGCCUUCCCAUUAGUUAUUAAUAAAUCUACACAUGCAAGCCUCCGCACUCCGGUGAGGACGCCCUUCAAGUCAUCUAUGAUAUAAAGGAGCAGGUAUCAAGCACACAACAACUGUAGCUCAUAACACCUCGCUAAGCCACACCCCCACGGGAUACAGCAGUGACAAAAAUUAAGCCAUGAAUGAAAGUUCGACUAAGUUAUAUUAAAGUAGGGUUGGUAAAUUUCGUGCCAGCCACCGCGGUCAUACGAUUAACCCGGACUAAUGGCCCUACGGCGUAAAGCGUGUUACAGAAAUAUAUCUAUGUUAAAGUUAAGUUUUAACUAGGCCGUAAAAAGCUACAGUUAAUACAAAAAUAUAUCACGAAAGUAACUUUAACAUAUCUUAUUACACGAUAGCUAAGCUUCAAACUGGGAUUAGAUACCCCACUAUGCUUAGCCCUAAACCUAGAUAUAUAAUCAAACAAAUAUAUCCGCCAGAGAACUACUAGCAACAGCUUAAAACUCAAAGGACUUGGCGGUGCUUUAUAUCCCUCUAGAGGAGCCUGUUCUAUAAUCGAUAAACCCCGAUAUACCUCACCAUCUCUUGCUAAUUCAGUUUAUAUACCGCCAUCUUCAGCAAACCCUAAAAAGGAAGAAAAGUAAGCAUAAACAUCUUAACAUAAAAAAGUUAGGUCAAGGUGUAACCCAUGAGGUGGGAAGCAAUGGGCUACAUUUUCUAUUUCUAGAACACUUUUACGAAUACCCUUAUGAAACAUAAGGGUUAAAGGAGGAUUUAGUAGUAAACUAAGAACAGAGAGCUUAGUUGAAUAGGGCCAUGAAGCACGCACACACCGCCCGUCACCCUCCUCAAGUAACAAUAAUAAGCAUAAAAUAAUAUACCCAAAACACAAAACACAAGAGGAGACAAGUCGUAACAAGGUAAGCAUACUGGAAAGUGUGCUUGGAUAAAC
rnacentral:ncRNA from 1 species